ACUUGCUGAUUGCUCGUCGAUGACCAAUUUACCUUGACCAGAACCUUAUAUACCUGGACCAGAUAGCUAUCAUGUACUUCCGCGUAUUACAAUAGUUCCUCUACAGUAGUAUAGGUGUCUGUAUAACCCCUAAACACAAUGGGGAGCUAUUGUAUUAUGGGAGACAAUGGGUUUAUUGUAUUGGGGACAAUGGGGGCGGAGAAAUCAAUACUGAGUAAAAGCCGAUACUGUGUGAAGGACACCUGGUCCUUUUAGAAUACUUAAAAAGAACAAGGCCAAGGAUACAUGAGGAAAAAUCAAUACUGUGUGAAAGGACACCUGUAAGGGGAAGGUUACCUGAGUGAAAAAUCAAUAUGGUGUUAAAUGACAUGUCCUUUAAAUUCAGUCUUAAAAAGAGCAAGGGGAAGGAUACCAGGGUGAAAAUCAAUACUACGUAACAGACACAUUUUGUUGUUUCUCAAAUAGAUGUUCACAAUAAAGAGAGAAAGAGACAGAUGAAUAGCAAAACGUUUUUAUAUUUUUAAAAUGAAUAUUACUCCCUACCUUUUUUUUUUUUUUUUUUUUUUUUUUUUGAUUAGAUGUGAUCUCAAUAAUCACGUGUAUAUUUGUCAUAAAACACUACUGAAAAAUUUCAAUUCUUACUCUGCAAUAGACACUGUUGCCAUACCAUGAUGAUGUCCUUUCCAGACCCACAAAACCAAAAUCAAAUUAAGUUAUUUAAAUGUCUGCAACGGGGUUCCUGCGUCAAGAAAGUAAUUGAUGACUAUAUCGUUUUCCAUUCUGGCGUAAAUUCGUGUAUGUGAAAAACAUUAUCUUUUGUGCAAUGAAUUUGUUCAUGAAAAAGAUUGUGUUGUUCGACUGGCCUUGGAAGGCAAACAGACUGACGAAACAUUACUUAGAUUUAUGUUGAUGUCACAGGAUUUUUUUUGGAUCGAGAAAUGAGGAAAGGUGAAGCCUUGCCUUUAUCAGAAGUCUUGAAAAUUGCGAGGAUCGACCGUAUUCCGUUGAAUAAGUGGAAUGAUGUUCAAACGGACUUUAUGUGGAAAGAGUACUUCAGAACUAAUGGUUUUGAAAAAGACGAGAUUCCGUACACAGAGGAACCAGACACGACUGAAGGAUUUAUAAAUCCUUUUAUUUUUGAACUUUAAAGACUUAAUGUCAUGCCGUGUGCAUUGGGCAGGUGAUCUGCAGAGAAUCGACGACAAUGGCCACAAGUUUUGUGAGUGCCGCCAUGGACAAGCAUAUUACAACGGAAAGAAACUCGGUGAGACCUCAAUCGACAGAUAUGACAGACAGCACAACAACAUUUGAUACUGUAAACACGACAGAGGAUUCUAUAUUCACUCACUCUUUACUUGUAACAAAACCUCCCCCUCUCUCUCUCUCUCUCUCUCUCUCUCUCUCUCUCUCUCUCUCUCUCUCUCUCUCAUAUUUCAUUCCGCAUGAAUCUACGUUAUCAAAAAACUGAAUCCCCGACUUUGUUACCUACUACUAUAAAUACUAAUAACUC